CAGAGAGACAGAGAGAUCGAGAGAGGCAGAGAAAGCUGAACCAUUUUCAGGAUCUUGUUAAAUUCCAGGCUCAGCUGUGGUUACGGCAGGAAGGAGAGGAGCUUCCUGCUCCCAUGUUAAGUCUGCUGGUGUUUGCUCAGCUCUUGCUAUGAUCUUCUGAUCUAAGGUGGAAAUCCAAAGGAAAGUCAGCGAGGUGUGGAGGGCUCACACAUUGCACUGAAGGCCAUUGCCCAUUCCGUUCUUAGUGCUUUGGAAGGCAGGAUAUGGAGUGAUGUGCAGUGUACAAGUGAAGGGGUUGCCACACUGACUACUGUCCCUUCACACUGAACCGACACACCCUGCAUGUGUUGUGUGUAACAGGACAUGUACACAUCUGUAGUAGGGCGUGUGCACAUGUGUGGCAGCGACUGUGCACAUGCAUACACAUACAGAGGCCAGAGGAGGAUGGUGGGUACAAUGAGGGACGUUCUUAAAGGACCCUCGCUGAGCUCUGUGAGGGAGGUCUUGGCUUAGGGUUCCACUUCAGCUCUUGCUGUGAUGGUUGAUUUUGAUCCUAGUGGACCUCAGAAGACGAAGCCGCAGACCCACCAGCUUCCUGGAACUGGGAAGUGCUGCACACCCAAGGGGGCUGCUGGACAUUUGCUGUUGGUUUUGGUGUGUUGGGUUUCUUCUCCUUUCUAGAUUAUAAAUGCAACCUGUUUUUAAAUAGAAGAUUCUUUUUAUUCUAGAAUCUAAGAUGGUGUUCUGCUCCCAAAUCACGAUGUCUCCCAGAUGACAGGGCCACAGUCAUGGGAGGUCUCAGGCUUGCCAGCUUUCUCUAGCUCUCCGAUCCCCAUGCUGAUUCCUGCCUGGUCUUUGGGUCUGGAGAGGCUGGGGUCACUCUCUUCUGGAUCUAGGGUGAGUAGUAACCAGGCUCUUGUUGGCAAGCAAACCUCAGUCUAGAGGAACCGGAACACUCUGGAUUCUGGAAACAAUCUGGCUUAUUUGAAUUACAGUAGAUGGACGACAACACUGGGGGCAUCUAAGGGUUUAGGGCCAGCACUGGGGGAGGACAAGACUCAGUGGAGAUACAUAGUGAGCAGGACAGAGUAAUGAAUUUAGAGGUUUCAGACAUGGAUGUAGCCUCACACUGGCGGACGGUGUGAACUCCAUCAGUCAUUGUUCUGCCCAGGUUCUAGCUUCUUUGUUUGUAAGAUGAGAGUACGUACUUUACAAAAACAAUGUAAGAACUACAUUGAGUUUUACAGAGAGUAAAUGAAAAUAUUGUAUGCAUAUAUAUCAAUAUUUUAUGAUGUUUAUACAUAUAUCCACAUAAUUGUUUCUUUCUACUUUAUGAGCAGAGUUUGAAACCCUCUCUCCUGGACACACACUGGCAGGCACAUCAGUAGGUCUGCAGUGAGCACCAUCUCCCUGGCCCUGAGCACUGCCUGGCUUCUUCUGCCCUGGUAGAUUUACUUCUGACCUUUUAUGGAGAAGUAGUUGUUGUUAUCAUCAAAAACAGUUGUUGUUGUCCAAAAAGUAUAUUUAACAUGAAGGGGUGUGAAAUGUAAGGCCUUCUAUUGUUCUUUUGUUUACAUUUCCUUCCUUUCAUGGUGACUUUGGGGAUUGCUGUCAGUCCUGAUGGGGAAAGCAGACCUUGGCUUCUUGCUAGGUUCCAGGAACAGGAAACAAGGCUUCCUCCCCUGCAGGACUUAUGGAAACCACUGGUGGUGGGGGUAGUACCCUGUACUCACCUAGAGUCUGACUUUUAUUGAUUUGCUCAAGUAAUUGGUUGAUUUCUUUAGAGACUGACUCAGAACUUUUAGAAUGGAAGUGCUACACGCCAGCACCUUGUCAGUGAGCAAGUUGCCAUCUGUGACAAGCAAUGCCAGCCUCAUGACAGAUGACACGUGUUGAGCGGUUCCUAGUUGCUAGCCACUGUUGUGUUCUCUGUGCACUGAUUCCUAGUGAGCACAGCCACCAGUUAAGGUGACGUCGAGGGCUCAGUGUUUCCCCAUCUGGAAGAGGAGAAAAGCAGCCCAGAGAGCUUACGUGGCCUGCUCUGCGCACACCUGGCUAAGUGGGAAGAUGAUGACGAGGCAUCCGGGACACUAGUCAAUUAGCUAAUUAAUGUGAUAGUCACUGUUCCUGACAUAAGAUGUGGGAUAUCUCUUGAAGUGGAAAGUGUAUUUGUCACAGCAUUUUAUGGGCGCUCUUAGGGAAACCGGAGCUCCCAGGACAAACCCUAACAUCCUUUUAGACCUCACCUUAGCAUGAGUGCCUGUGAGUUAAUUAGAUGCUUUGUGUGUAGUCCCCACACUCCGGCUGCCCUGGGUGGUGCAGUAGCUAGGGAGGACAGAUAGACUAUGAGGUCAGACUGGGGAGGACAGAUAGACUAUGAGGUCAGACUGGGGAGGACAGAUAGACUAUGAGGUCAGACUGGGGAGGACAGAUAGACUAUGAGGUCAGACUAGGGAGGACAGAUAGACUAUGAGGUCAGACUGGGGAGGACAGAUAGACAAUUGAGGUCAGACUGGGGAGGACAGAUAGACUAUGGGGUCAGACUGGGGAGGACAGAUAGACUAUGGGGUCAGACUGGGAAGGACAGAUAGACUAUGGGGUCAGACUGGGGAGGACAGAUAGACUAUGAGGUCAGACUGGGAAGGACAGAUGGACUAUGAGGUCAGACUGGGGAGGACAGAUGGACUAUGAGGUCAGACUGGGGAGGACAGGUAGACUAUGGGGUCAGACUGGGAAGGACAGAUAGACUAUGAGGUCAGACUGGGGAGGACAGAUAGACUAUGAGGUCAGACUGGGGAGGACAGAUAGACUAUGAGAUCAGCACUGGGUUAAGCCUGUGGUGCUGACCCACUGGGCCCCAGCUCCUGCCUGGAGGAAUUAGGCCAGUAAGUCUCUAGGUUGUCAUGGUCACCAGGUGAGCUUGGGUUUAGAGAAAGUGUCAGCUAGGUCGGUGACCCCUGCAAACAGCCGAACAGUGCUCACAGAUGCACUCACUGUCUCAUCACCUGCUUUUCUUCCUCGGUCCUGAGACGUCCACUAGAAUAACACAACAAGACUGACUAGGUGGCGGGGGAGCGGGGGAGAGACCCUGGAGUACACACGGUUGUGAAAAACGCUCUUUGGCUUGUGUCCUAGGGUUUUAUUGCUGUGAA